UUAAAAUUGGUAAGAACUCUUUGUUCUCUUAACUGAACAUUGAGACAGAAUGCGUGUUCCUAGUGGGCCAUUUUUGGUAAGCAGAACUGGCGAUGAGGGAUGAACCUAACGUUGAGUUAAGGUGCCCAACUAUACGCUCAUGAGAUACCACAAAAGGUGUUGAUUCAUCUAAACAGCAGGACGGUGGACAUAAAAGUCGUCAUCCGCUAAGGAGUGUGUUACAACUCACCUGCCGAAUGAAUUAGCCCUGAAAAUGGAUGGCGCUAAAGCGUAUGACCGAUACUCAACCAUCAAUACAAAAGAAAGUAGUGAUGAGUAGGAGGGCGUGGGUGUUGUAAGAAGAUUAUGGCGUGAGCCUGAUUGGAACGACAUCUAGUGCAGAUCUUGGUGGUAGUAGCAAAUAGCCAAUUGGAAACGUUGGCGGCCGAAGUGGAGAAGGGUUCCCUGAGAACAGCAAUUGAUCGAGGGGUUACGCGGU
rnacentral:rRNA from 1 species